UGAGACACGGCCCAGACUCCUACGGGAGGCAGCAGUAGGGAAUCUUCCGCAAUGGACGAAAGUCUGACGGAGCAACGCCGCGUGAGUGAUGAAGGUUUUCGGAUCGUAAAGCUCUGUUGUUAGGGAAGAACAAGUGCCGUUCAAAUAGGGCGGCACCUUGACGGUACCUAACCAGAAAGCCACGGCUAACUACGUGCCAGCAGCCGCGGUAAUACGUAGGUGGCAAGCGUUGUCCGGAAUUAUUGGGCGUAAAGGGCUCGCAGGCGGUUUCUUAAGUCUGAUGUGAAAGCCCCCGGCUCAACCGGGGAGGGUCAUUGGAAACUGGGGAACUUGAGUGCAGAAGAGGAGAGUGGAAUUCCACGUGUAGCGGUGAAAUGCGUAGAGAUGUGGAGGAACACCAGUGGCGAAGGCGACUCUCUGGUCUGUAACUGACGCUGAGGAGCGAAAGCGUGGGGAGCGAACAGGAUUAGAUACCCUGGUAGUCCACGCCGUAAACGAUGAGUGCUAAGUGUUAGGGGGUUUCCGCCCCUUAGUGCUGCAGCUAACGCAUUAAGCACUCCGCCUGGGGAGUACGGUCGCAAGACUGAAACUCAAAGGAAUUGACGGGGGCCCGCACAAGCGGUGGAGCAUGUGGUUUAAUUCGAAGCAACGCGAAGAACCUUACCAGGUCUUGACAUCCUCUGACACCCCUAGAGAUAGGGCUUCCCCUUCGGGGGCAGAGUGACAGGUGGUGCAUGGUUGUCGUCAGCUCGUGUCGUGAGAUGUUGGGUUAAGUCCCGCAACGAGCGCAACCCUUGAUCUUAGUUGCCAGCAUUCAGUUGGGCACUCUAAGGUGACUGCCGGUGACAAACCGGAGGAAGGUGGGGAUGACGUCAAAUCAUCAUGCCCCUUAUGACCUGGGCUACAC
rnacentral:rRNA from 1 species